rnacentral:lncRNA from 1 species
CAAGGAAAUGUUGGUGCUCCAUCAAUUCUAACAAGAUGCAGCUGUUGGAAGGGCCUUUUCAGGUUUGUAAUUCAGACCCCAGCUGGAUUCACACUACUUAGAUUUAUUGGCACUCUGAGCAUAUUGUGAAGGCAAUAUUUUCUCCUCUCUUUUGUUGUUGAGGAAGGAGGGAAGCAGAGAUGAGUGUAUUUGUUCAGAUGAGAGUACACAGAGUCAACAGUUUUCAUGUAAAUGUGUUUGAAGUACAGAAGAAAAUAAUUGAAGAGUUUGUUGAGGCUUAUCUACCAUGGAGAAUCAGGAACUGAAUGUGUCCUUCAGCAGUUUCUUAUUCUUUAGUAAGUGCUGAUUCAUUUUUGAUUGUGUAAAAUUAAAGUUAGUAUUCGAAGUAUUCAAAGAAGCUGUUGUUUUGUCACAGCACAGGAAUUGCUGAAUGUCAUGAAAACAUAAUGUUGCUUAAUCCCCA